rnacentral:lncRNA from 1 species
GUCCGCCCCAUCGUGGCAGCGCCUCGUCCCUCUGCCGCCGGAGCAGCCAUCGGGCGGUGCGGCGUCGUCUACACCGCCGGCGCAAGAUGUUUUUUCCUAUUUUUUUUCUAAGUUGCAUCACGGGAAAAGACCACGCCAACCCACAUAAUUACGGUUAUGCCCUCCAACUCGAGGUACUCCCAGUGUUCUUAAUUCGGUACUCCGUGUGAUUGAGGAUGGAGUACCAGGUAAUAUUAACUACUUGAUCGGGAUAAAUGAACGGAUUAUAUUAAAUCAAGAGUACCGUAAAAGAGCUCUAGAUAUAACUAUAGUCCCUACAUGCAUGCAGCUGAUCUUUUUUCUUGUAUGUCGUGUCU